CGGGCGCCGGAAAAUGUCCGCACACGCAUCGACACAACCGGCCGGGUGCCUGGUAAACAGGUUGCCGCUUGGGAUGCGUGGAGGCCCAAC
rfam:Thiocapsa marina 5811 ctg467, whole genome shotgun sequence.